UGCCUACUGACACGUGCCAAGCCACUAAUUUCAUACGCCUUGAGGGCCCGUCGCGUGCGUUAGAAGCGUCGGGUUUGGGUCACGUUGAUUCCGGCUUCGGUGCGUUUGUCUGUCUAAAUCUCGGCAUUAUUAUUAUCAUCGUCGUCGUUACCUUUCAUAUCCUUCACGUUGUUGAGAGGCGAAAUCCGCCCUACGAGACCCCAGCAGACCUUUAUCCUCUUCCUCUUAUACAUCCGGCCGGCCGGCCACGGCGAGAACGUCGCUUCCCAAGUUCUCGGCCGUGCAGACCGUUGUCGUCAGCUACCUUGGUCGGUCUCCACCUCUUUUUCAGCUCCUUUGAGGCCAUUCGAUUGAAUAUUAUGACCAUGUUCUCUAUGAGAUGGUAGCAAGCAGGGAGGGUCUAGAGAAUGGAAUAAACUCCAAAGGCUUCAUGAUCUAAAGGCUUCAAUGUCAUUUGGAUUCACUCAUAGGAAGAUGGCUAAAGUACUCAUUUUGAUUGCCUUGACUAUCAAAGUGAAAAGUGGUGCUUCACAUUUUGUUCCUUAAUCUCUGCUCACAACUUGAAAUAAUUUCAAUGAAUCUAAUUUUCACAAAGUGCGACAAACGUAAGAAGACCACGAUGUGUGGUGGGUGGUAGGAGAUGAGGAUGAUGAUGAUGAUGAUGAUGCUGAUGAUGAUGAAUGGUGGCAGAAGACACGAAGAAAAUGUUGAGAAAAUUUUCUUAUCUGCUCAUGCUGCGCUGAGAUGCAGGUGCAACGUCUGUUUGGGGUAGUCUUUUGCUUACAAUGACUAGUAGAAUCCAUGGCCGAGUAGUGAGAAUGGAAAGUUGGCUUCCGCCGCCGCUGUCUCUGAACCCGUCAUGCCGAAUUCUGGGAGGAAGCUGAUUUCGCUUGCAGAAUUGGGACUGAUAAGCUCAGCAUCGUAGCUGUUGAUGGCGGAAACAUCGAAUGGAAGGCAGGAAGAGUCCAUCAUCAAGCUGGGUUGCAGCAGCAGGAGGAGGAGGAGGAGGAGGAGAAACAAUGAGCCGCCUCUUCUUGGCUGCUGUGGAAGACUGCUGCUGCUUCGAGAUUACGAGCCUGGAGAGCGAUCGAGGGUCAUCAGCCAUUUUAGCAAGGAACGACAUCAUCUGGAGCAUCUCGUCCACCUCCCCUUCCAUGGCUCCCUUCUCCUUCUCGCUGCUGCUGCUGCUGCUGCUGCUACAGGCAAACAAGCCAGCAUGGGCUCUCUUGGUCCGCCUAAUGAUGCGAGGAAGGAGGUGAAUCUGGUCCCUGAGGAACGACUGGCGGAAAAGAUCGAGGAAGGAGUGACACUACAGACGUAGGUGUUCAGCUGGCGGACGAAGCUGGAGAAGUUACUGUGCCUGAAAUAGUAAGGCAAAAGGAACUGGGAGAACUCGUUGGGACUGAGCACCAGGAA